AUGAAUCCACUGAUUGUUGUUGCUUCUGUUAUCACUGCUGGGUUGACCGUUGGGCUUGCUUCUAUUGGACCUGGAGUUUGUCAAGGCACAGCUGCAGGGCAAGCUGUAGAAGGGAUUACGAGACAACCGGAAGCAGAGGAUAAAAUACGGCGUACUUUAUUACUUAGUUUGGCUUUUAUGGAAGCUUUAACUAUUUAUGGGCUGGUUGUAGCAUUAGCUAUUUUAUUUGCAAACCCUUUUGUUUAA
rnacentral:lncRNA from 1 species